rnacentral:misc_RNA from 1 species
GCAGAUAUAGCAAGAGGCGACAUUGAAACUCGAAAGCGGAAGGAGCUCGCCAAGGAGGUAUUAGAAAUGAAAGAGGCUGCUGCUGCUGCUGAGGCCCAGAAACGGGCUCGAGUAGAAGUGACAAGCUCCUCAGUCCGAACUCCAGAGCAACCAGUUCAGGAAACGCCGGUCCUAGCUAUGGAGCCUUCCACUCAACUCGCUGAGCCUCCUUCCCAUCUCUCGGUCAUCUCAGCUUCAGAAGGCAGAUCCUCAGGGCAGACAAUCACGUCUGGGCAACCACUCUCCAGAGGUGCCCA